CCAAGACUGGAGGAGAGGGGAAGGGGAAGCUGACUCUUGGUGUGAGGCAUGGCAAGGGCCCACGGGGUGGAGAGGAUGGAUGGUGCCCAUCUCCGGAGACGGUCUAUCACACUCACAGCAGCAAAGAGCCGGAAGGAGACUCCAGAGCAGCUGUGACUUCUCCACUCUUACUCUGCUCCCACCGGCUCUUGCAGCUGAAUGCAGUGGCCUGAUAAAGAGAGUGGCAGCACUGAAGGAGCUCAAGCUACCUGCCAGUGAGGAACACUCUUUUGGAUUUGGAGAGAGACAGAGCAUGAGAGGGGGAGGGACAGAG